GGCCUUUCUUGUGAUGUGGGAAUGUGCACUGUGGGAAGAAUGGGCUGGAAUCUAGAGGUGUGCUCAACCAGACACCCCUGCAUCAUUUCGAAUUGAGAGAGCAUCAGAGCGCGCUAGUAUUUUCGUUACGCACAUUGUUGCUAGUACUUAGUAGUUACUUCUUCUUGUUAUUUCGAUAAUUUUAAACAUUUCGAAUUUGAACAUGGCUCCUAAAAGUGGGAAAGCGAAAUCCAAGACCAAGUACACAUACUUGGAGGAGAUUUUUGAGGAGAUUCAGCGAGAGAGUGACCGAGAGCUAGACAAGGACUCUCUUAGUGAACAAAGUUUUGAUUCUGGCGAGGAAGAAUUGUUCUUGGAAGGAAAGGAUCCCGUUUUAGAUUGUGGAAGCGACUCAGACUCGGAUGAUCUCUGGGAGCCGGCUGAAAGAGACAACCACAAUCAAGCAGUCCUGUCCUCACUACUUCAGGAGCAUCUACAUCUGCCAUUGUUUCUGGGUCUACAACAAGCACACCUUUUGUCUCCAAAAUCACUCCAGGUCCGAUGUCAUCCACACCUACCCCCGUCCGGCCAUCCAGAGGUGUGAAGAGACCAGCCCAGAGACAAAGACGGGCCAGUGCACCAGCUGACACCCCCACUGAGGGAGAGGACCGUUGGCACACAGUACUGGAGGAAGAUGUGGAGCCACGUCCACCCACAUUCAGGCCUAAAAGGCAGCCUGGACCUCAGCUGGACAUGACUGGGACAUACAGCCCCCUCCAUCUGUUCCAGCUGUUUAUUACUACCUCUGUUCUUGCGACGCUGGUGUCGAACACCAACAAGUAUGGGACUAAAAAGCAAGCUGGAAAAAAAGAGGCAUGGAAGACCAUUUCCAUCAAUGACAUGUACUCCUACAUAUCACUGGUCAUUUACAUGGGGAUUGUGCUCCUCUAGCAUUCCUGCCUCCUCUAGCACUCCUGCCCCAGGACCUGCCUCCAGUGGUGCGCACAUACCAAAGUAUCUGGUUGCAGACCUGAAUGUGCCUCAAGGCCAAAAGGGUACAGUUGGAAGGCGCCGUUGUACCCUGUGCCAUAAAAAGUCACCUAUUACCUGCAC
ensembl:lncRNA